rnacentral:rRNA from 1 species
UUCCGGUUGAUCCCGCCAGAGGUCACUGCUAUCGGGGUUCGAUUAAGUCAUGCGAGUCGAGAGGGUUCGGCCCUCGGCGUACUGCUCAGUAACACGUGGAUAACCUGCCCUAAGGAAGGGGAUACCCCCGGGAAACUGGGGAUAAUACCCUAUAGGUUACAGAUGCUGGAAUGCUCUGUACCCGAAAGUUCCGGCGCCUUAGGAUGGAUCUGCGGCCGAUUAGGUUGUUGUCGGGGUAACGGCCCAACAAGCCAGUAAUCGGUACGGGUUGUGGGAGCAAGAGCCCGGAGUUGGAUUCUGAGACACGAAUCCAGGCCCUACGGGGCGCAGCAGGCGCGAAAACUUUACAAUGCGGGCAACCGUGAUAAGGGAACCUCGAGUGCCUGUAUAUGCAGGCUGUCUGGGUGUCUAAAACACACCUAAAGAAAGGGCCGGGCAAGACCGGUGCCAGCCGCCGCGGUAAUACCGGCGGCUCGAGUGGUGGCCACUUUUAUUGGGCUUAAAGCGUUCGUAGCUGGGUUAUUAAGUCCCUUGGGAAAUCCGACGGCUUAACCGUCGGGCGUCUAAGGGAUACUGGCAAUCUUGGAACCGGGAGAGGUGAGGGGUACUUCGGGGGUAGGAGUGAAAUCCUGUAAUCCUCGAGGGACCACCUGUGGCGAAGGCGCCUCACCAGAACGGCUUCGACAGUGAGGGACGAAAGCUGGGGGAGCAAACCGGAUUAGAUACCCGGGUAGUCCCAGCCGUAAACGAUGUGCGUUAGGUGUAUCGGCGACCACGAGUCACCGAGGUGCCGAAGGGAAACCGUGAAACGUACCGCCUGGGAAGUACGGUCGCAAGGCUGAAACUUAAAGGAAUGGGCGGGGGAACAC